rnacentral:rRNA from 1 species
AUGGAAGCGGGGAAGGAGGCGAGCAUGGAGAGGAACACCAAGUCGAGGCUUGACAUCCAUCCGGGGGCGACAGCCAGCCUAUUCACCGACGACCUCAUCCUGGAGAUCCUCUCCCGCCUCCCUGCCAGGUCCGUCUAUCGCUUCAAGUGCGUUUCCAUGCUCUGGCGCGACCUCAUCGCCGACCCCUCCAACCGCAAGAUGCUGCCUCAAACCCUCGCCGGCUUCCUCUACAUAUCCUACCGCAGCGGGCACCGCCACCACUUCGCCAGCGUCUCGGGCGGCGCAUCCCCCUUCGACCCUUCCCUCCCUUACCUGCAGCCUAACAUGGACGAGGGUAUUGCCCAGGUGAACGCCUGCAAUGGCCUCCUUCUCUACCGCCGCUACAAGAAAAACAUGGUGACCCCUUGGACAGAGGGUGAUUUCCAUUUUGUUGUGUGCAAUCCCGCCAACGGGAGGUGGGUGGAGCUGCCCCCUCAACCUCAACCGCCGGCGCCGGCAAACAUACAUUGCCCUACUGCAGGAGUGAACAUCUAUUCUUCGCGUACAAGAGCCUGGAGUCGUAUGGACAGUGGGAUUGUUGAGAAAGCUACCCUGUUGAGGAGUAAAUGUGUCUUUGUCGGCGGUAUGCUGUAUCUCAUGGGCAACCUGGAGGACAUCAACGGCAAGUAUGUCCUGGUGGGGGUGGAAAUGGAGGGGAAAGUGUGGAAGACUAUCCGCGUGCCAUAUGGUUCGAAGUUUGGUACCAUUGGAUCAUCGCAGGGGUGCUUACAUUAUGCUGUAGCUUCUGUUGAUGAUAACAAUGAAAUCCUAGUUUCUGAGAUAUCACUCUGGUGCCUCAAGGGUCAAGACAGUAAAGAAUUGGUCCUGAAGCAUACCACCAGCAUCGAUAAACUUAUGAGCAUGACUAGGAAGACGUACAGGGUGGUUGAGAUUCAUCCAGAUUGCGACACCAUUUUCCUGGUUUCAAAUGAAGGUGAUACCUUGGCAGCGUACGAUAUGCGACAUCAGAAAGUUGGUUAUAUACUUAAUCUUGAGAACAAUACACAACAAUUUCUACCCUAUGUUCCUCUGUUCUCAGAGCCAUUAGCAGAUGCAAAUGAGCAGUAG